rnacentral:lncRNA from 1 species
UCAACUCACUGUGGACUGUCAGAGUCGCCGUGAAAACGUCAUGUCGCCGUGUGGCCGUCCCAUCACCAGGGUUGACCCGGCUCUCGGCGGGACAAUGCCCCUAGGUAACUGUGCCGCAUGUCCGUGUCAGAGCUGACAACGUCUGACGGCUGUACGGUGGUUGGAGGAGCCGACCGACCCAAAGUCGGUAGCCAGCUGAGUGGUGUCGGGCCCCUCCAUUGGUCGGCGAGCAUCAUGUGAGUCGGCCAUCAGUCCACUGGGUUCAGUCGGUCGGGAUGGACACGCCCGACAUAUCCCUAGUCGGUGAUGGAUUGUCGGAUGGCCGGUGAUGGCAUCCGUCAGUUGGUCGCCCCGACCGACGAUCGGUCGG